GUGUAACCCAGGUGGGGAAGGCCUGGCCUCCGAGGACGGCACCCUCAAGCUCUGGAACCUCCAGAAACCCGGGAACCCCAAAAAGAACGCGGCGCUGGACGUGGAGCCGGUUUACGCCUUCCGGGGACACAGGGGCACGGUGCUGGCCGUGGCCAUGGGCUGUGACCGGGGGCUGUGCUGCAGUGGUGGCCUGGGG